AUUUAUAUAGUUUAAAUAAAACCUUACAUUUUCAUUGUAAUAAUAAAAUUCUAUAUUUUUAUAAAUU
rnacentral:tRNA from 1 species